CUCUCGGUAGCCAAGUUGGUUUAAGGCGCAAGACUGUAAUUAGAAAAACACGAAAUCUUGAGAUCGGGCGUUCGACUCGCCCCCGGGAGA
rfam:Naumovozyma dairenensis CBS 421 chromosome 2, complete genome